rnacentral:rRNA from 1 species
CGGGAGAUGUUUGCNCUAGCUACUUGCAUCAUUGCUACAGAUGAUGCAAGAUCGACUAAGUCGAAUAAAAUUCUAGGUAGAAUUAUGAUAAUGACAUUGUCUGCCUAUGUGUCUUGACCAAAUUACGUGCCAGCAGUCGCGGUAAUACGUAGUAGACUAGUGUUAUUCAUGUUUAAUCGGUUUAAAGGGUACCUAGACGGUAGAUCAAGCUUUUAUAUAUAAAUUAUGUUAAUUAAAGGACUAAUUUACUAGAGUUACUUACGAGGGGGCAUUAAAGUACUGCUGGUGUAGAGAUGAAAUUCUGUCAUACCUCUUUUCGAAAGAAAAAUCAUGGCACUGGUAUAGGCGAAGGCAUCCCCUUAUGUGAUAACUGACGUUGAGGGACGAAGGCUUUGUGUAACAAACAGGAUUAGAUACCCUAGUAGUUGAAGCAGAAAAUGAUGAAUGUCAUAGAUUAGAUAUAUAAGUUUAUUCUAUAAAUGAAAGUGUAAGCAUUCCACCUCAUGAGUAAUUUGGCAACAUUGGAAUUGAAAUCAUUAGACCGUUUCUGAAACCAGUAGUGAAGUAUGUUGUUUAAUUUGAUGGUCCGCAAAAAACCUUACCAC